rnacentral:misc_RNA from 1 species
GAUGAAGAACGCAGCGAGAUGCGAUAAGUAAUGUGAAUUGCAGAAUUCAGUGAAUCAUCGAAUCUUUGAACGCACAUUGCGCCCGCUAGUAUUCUGGCGGGCAUGCCUGUCCGAGCGUCAUUUCAACCCUCAAGCCCCCGGGCUUGGUGUUGGGGAUCGGCGAGCCUCCGCGCCCGCCGUCCCCUAAAUCUAGUGGCGGUCUCGCUGUAGCUUCCUCUGCGUAGUAGCACACCUCGCACUGGGAAACAGCGCGGCCACGCCGUUAAACCCCCAACUUCUGAACGUUUGACCUCGGAUCAGGUAGGAAUACCCGCUGAACUUAAGCAUAUCAAUAAGCGGAGGA